AUAAAAUGUAUACUUCUUUUGGCCGCCUUUAUAUACUAUUAUGUGUUUUGGUUGCUUAGAAAUUUGGAAGUAGGUCUGGCAAUCCAACUUGUGUCCAACACAAACUGAGAUUUUCGGCUCAAAAUCUUAUAGUGAACUGAACACAAGUUAAUAUUAACUUGCUUGAAUAAUUAAUGAGUUGAACACGAGCUGAGAUCAACUCACUCGUGUCCGGCUCGAUAUAACUCGGACACACACACACACACAUAUAUAUUUAUAAUUAACUUUUCACCGAGUAGGUGCGCACACACAAUUUUUCUAACUUUUCACCCAGUAGUAGGGCGCAUGCAUGCAUAUUUAUAAUUUUUCAAUGUUUCAUCCAGUAGUAGGGAUGACAAGCAAGACAGCUCGUGUUCAGCUGAUUUAAUAAACAAGCGAACACGUAAGACCGACAAUCAAACUUACUGUUCGCAAGCGAGCUCGUGCUCGCCUCAUUUAAACGACUGAACACGAGCCGUCCCCAGCUCGCUCGUGUUCAGCUUGUCGACUGACCUACUUGAAAGACUAAAUGAAUGGUGCAUCUCACCAUUCACAUGCGCGCACACAAACACGAGCCAAAAUCAGACCACGCGUGGUCCUGGUUAGUCGAUUCAAGUUAAUCACCAUUCUUCUUCUAUGUUUUCUUUAUCGGAUAGAUCUCUGAAAUCCUAAGUGGUAUUUUAAUUUAAGGACAAAAGUGGCAUUUUUUGGUAUUUUCAAAUAUAUCCUUCUGCCAUCACCAAUAUACCUUAUUUGCUCUUAAGUUAAGGACAAAAGUGAUAUUUUAAUUAUUUUUUAACUAUACUAGAUAUUUGACUCACGUUUAACCCAAGUUAACUUAAUGAGUGAUAAAUAUAGAGAUAUUUUAAAAUAACGGAGGAGGAAAAAAAAAGAAUAAAUAAGAUAUUUUGAAGUUUUGAGAUAUUUCUGAAGGUAAUUAUUUUUAAAUUUAAUUUAUAU
rnacentral:lncRNA from 1 species